UAGGGAAUCUUCGGCAAUGGACGGAAGUCUGACCGAGCAACGCCGCGUGAGUGAAGAAGGUUUUCGGAUCGUAAAGCUCUGUUGUAAGAGAAGAACGAGUGUGAGAGUGGAAAGUUCACACUGUGACGGUAUCUUACCAGAAAGGGACGGCUAACUACGUGCCAGCAGCCGCGGUAAUACGUAGGUCCCGAGCGUUGUCCGGAUUUAUUGGGCGUAAAGCGAGCGCAGGCGGUUAGAUAAGUCUGAAGUUAAAGGCUGUGGCUUAACCAUAGUAGGCUUUGGAAACUGUUUAACUUGAGUGCAAGAGGGGAGAGUGGAAUUCCAUGUGUAGCGGUGAAAUGCGUAGAUAUAUGGAGGAACACCGGUGGCGAAAGCGGCUCUCUGGCUUGUAACUGACGCUGAGGCUCGAAAGCGUGGGGAGCAAACAGGAUUAGAUACCCUGGUAGUCCACGCUGUAAACGAUGAGUGCUAGGUGUUAGGCCCUUUCCGGGGUUUAGUGCCGUAGCUAACGCAUUAAGCACUCCGCCUGGGGGGUACGACCGCAAGGUUG
rnacentral:rRNA from 1 species